CCAAAUUUUCAAUUUUUCACUUCCCACCAUUCGGCCAAAACCCGAGCUCGCGCUUCUCUCUCUCAAAAUCACUCUUCAUCUCCCCGAUCUCACCAAUCAUCCAUCUCUCCCACUCUCCCUCUCUUCCACUCAACAAAACUACCUCUCUCUUCUCACAGCUCCCAUCUUCCUCCUUCGCCUUUACAAAAUCAGAGAAAGUGGGAAGAAGAAAACAUGUAGCGCGAAAUAGACGAUGAUUGAGAAAUCGAAACCCAAAUUUCUCUUACUCCUUCUCUCCACCCCUUUCUGCAAAACCCUAGCUUUCUCUCGCCGCCGCCCCAUCAAUUUAUGUUUCAGAUGAAAGGGUCAAUACAGAAGCCCACUGAACUGGUUGAAGAUAUCUACUCCCGAUAAUUUCAUAUCGAAGACCAGCUAGAACACGAGCUGGGCUUUGCACUCUAGCCAAGUCAAAUUGGAGAUGGACUCAAAGACGGGAAAACGGUUUGGAGAUGGAGUCAUGCACUCCUAGCAUUGGAUAUGACAAGUUCAUGUUCUUUACCUAUAAAUAAGAACCAUGAGCAGAUUUGAAUCGUUCGUUGUUUUGUGAAUCAAUUCGUUUCUCUGAUGGUUUUGCCCAUGGCGAUUGCACUUGGAAUUCUCUUUGCAGUGGUCGUGGUCCUUUAUCCGCUAAUCCUUCAUCUCAUUCCGGUGGUGCUGCUCUGCGUCUCAGGCCUCUUUUCCAAUUUGGUUCAGGCGUUUUGCUUUGUUUUUAUCUGGCCGAUCUCAAAGAAUGCAUACACAAGGGAGUGAGAUUGAGAUUCUGCUUCGUACAUUUAAGCUGUCUCACAGAGAGUGCUACUUUUUGCUGCUCGAUUUUAAGUGCAAUCUGCAAGAAGGGAUGGAGGGAAAUCCUUCUGCUAAAACCAUGAAGAAUGUUUCAAGAGGCAUGGCUGUUCUUACAGUUUUGUUUACCAUGGGCUUUCCAAAGAGUGGAGCAUGAGUUCCAAGGUUCAAUUCCCAAGAGCUGCGUGCAUUGUCAAUUUAUGUUCUCAAAGCAUCUUGCACUGCCCGUUGAAUUCAACGAAUUGGCUAUGUGGCUGUUCAAAUCUAGAUAAGUAUAUGAAAUGUUUCAGUUGUUAUAAAUAUUGUUCGGUUAAUCUCUGUUGGAAGUUAUGCUAAUCAAAUGUGUUGAAUGCCAAAAUAUUCCCUAAGGCAGUUUCAUCUUUCAAUCGCAUGGCGGUUAGUUCCACAAGGAGGGCGAUCACCUCGUGAAAAUUUUCCUUGAAAAUAUGCAGGACAUUCCACAGGAUGAGAACUCCAAAGAUCAGUUUCUAAUUCAAUCCAAGUCAGGGGGUACCCAGGUUUUAUGGAAUAAUGUGCAGAAAUUGAAAUCUGAGCCCGUGUACAAGAAUUCUGCUUGUGGUAGUGGUCGGAGUUUAUCAGUUUGGAACCUUCCUGCUUCUGAAUGCAUUUCAAGGACUUCAACUCGUGCAUAUGUACAGGAUGUAGUAUUUGAUGAAAAUCAAAUAUUAGUAGUUGGAGCAGAGCCUCUACUUAGCCGUUUUGAGAUAAAUGAGGCGAUUCUUUCACAAAUGCAAUGUGCUCCUCCCCAGUCAGCCUUUUCUGUCUCAUUACAUACAUCUGGGGUUACAGCAAUAGGAGGUUAUGGAGGAGUUGUGGAUGUUAUUUCCCAGUUCGGAAGCCAUUUGUGCACGGUUGGCUGAAAUGUGUUUAGAUAGAGCUCACUCUUGUCUUCAGAUAUGGUGUGCUCGAAAGCUGAAAGCAGCGGAGGUGUUCUUCUCUAUGGACCCUCGGGAACAGAAAAGACAUUGCUAGCCAGAGCAAUUGCAAGCAACAUAGAUGCUAACUUUCUAAAGAGUUCUGGAACAGUGUGCACUCAAAUUUUUGUAAUCUUUCAAAUUCAGUUAUGGCACUUGAUAUGUGGUCCAGAAGAGCAAAGAGAUUAUUAGAAGAGCAUGAUGGUGAGAAUUGUAAAGGUGAAGAAGAAGUGCAAGCAAUGGACAAUUGUCACAGACUUUGUCCGCUAAUAGCUGAAACUGGAAAUAUUGGUUUUGCUAUGCAAGCAAUGCAUCAGAGUAAAUCAAUGAAAUCAAGAAAUGAUGAACCACUUAUGGGAAAUUUUGUACCAAACUGCUCAAGGCUUUGAACUGAGAUGGUGGAAAUGAAGGGCAAUGUGCAGUCAUUGGGAGAUCAAGCUUGGAACACCCAGCAAGUUGUAUUAUUAUUUAUCAUUAUGUAAACCUUAUGAAAUUAGAAAGCUUGUUAAGCUAAUGGAAUGGAUUAAUGCUUUAUGAAAUUGCCUUUGUUGGAUCUA